rnacentral:rRNA from 1 species
GGCAGUGACGGUUAACGGGGGAUUAGGGUUCGAUUCCGGAGAGGGAGCCUGAGAAACGGCUACCACAUCUAAGGAAGGCAGCAGGCGCGCAAAUUACCCAAUUCUAACAGCAUAAGAGAGGUAGUGACAAGAAAUAACAAUACAAGGCAGUUAAAAUGCUUUGUAAUUGGAAUGAUAGAAAUUUAAACACUUUUUAAAGUAUCAAUUGGAGGGCAAGUCUGGUGCCAGCAGCCGCGGUAAUUCCAGCUCCAAUAGCGUAUAUUAAAAUUGUUGCAGUUAAAAAGCUCGUAGUUGAAUUUCUGCUAAAAAUAACCGGUCUGCUUUUAACAAAAGUGGUAUCUUGGUGUGUUUUUAGCAAUAAUGUCCUUUGAAAUGUUUUUUACUUUGUUGUAAAAGACAAUAUUCAGGAUUUUUACUUUGAGAAAAUUAGAGUGUUUCUAGCAGGCUAAUGUUUUGAAUACUGCAGCAUGGAAUAAUAAAAUAGAAUUUUAGUUCUACAUUGUUGGUUUUAAGAGCUGAAUUAAUGAUUGAUAGGGACAGUUGGGGGCAUUUGUAUUUAACUGUCAGAGGU